rnacentral:rRNA from 1 species
UACGGGGGGAGCAAGCGUUGUUCGGAUUUACUGGGCGUAAAGGGCGCGUAGGCGGCCUCCGCAAGUCAGUUGUGAAAUCUCCGAGCUUAACUCGGAAAGGUCAACUGAUACUGCGGGGCUAGAGUGCGGAAGGGGCAACUGGAAUUCUUGGUGUAGCGGUGAAAUGCGUAGAUAUCAGGAGGAACACCAAUUGCGAAGGCAGCUCGCUGGGACGUUACUGACGCUGAGACGCGAAAGCGUGGGGAGCAAACAGG